rnacentral:rRNA from 1 species
GUAGGGAAUAUUGGGCAAUGGAGGCAACUCUGACCCAGCCAUGCCGCGUGCAGGAUGACGGCCCUCUGGGUUGUAAACUGCUUUUAUACGGGAAGAAAAAAUACUACGUGUAGUAUACUGACGGUACCGUAAGAAUAAGGAUCGGCUAACUCCGUGCCAGCAGCAGCGGUAAUACGGAGGAUCCAAGCGUUGUCCGGAUUUAUUGGGUUUAAAGGGUGCGUAGGCGGAUCUUUAAGUCAGUGGUGAAAGCCUGCAGCUUAACUGUAGAAUUGCCAUUGAAACUGAAGAUCUUGAAUGUGGUUAAAGUAGGCGGAAUGUAUCAUGUAGCGGUGAAAUGCUUAGAUAUGAUACAGAACACCGAUAGCGAAGGCAGCUUGCUGAACCAUUAUUGACGCUGAGGCACGAAAGCGUGGGGAGCGAACAGGAUUAGAAACCCUGGUAGUCC